UCUAUUACCGAUCCUUAAGGAAAGAUUUUGGAGACCGAUUAUUAAGAUGGUUUUUACCCCACAUGUUAGCUUCCCAUCGCAAAUACAUUUUUUUUCUCUUUUUUUUCUUUUGUUUCUCUCUGUCUUCUCCGACAAAGAUGAGAAGUAACCGCUGCGAUUUGUGCUUUCUGGACGCAUGUUUGCUCCGACCAAGGUCUCUGAUUACAUCCGUUGCGAUCUCAAACAGAGGGAAUUAAUUUGUCAGGUUUUAGAAAAGCGGUUGGAAUUUUUCUGUGUUUCUCGACAAAUUAAAUCAGCCUUAAAACCCUUGACGGAGUUUCUUCUCUUCGCUUUGGAGAACAGAGGACGCCGCUCAUCGCAUCGUACAGGUAAGAUCUUAAUCUUUAUUGUUGAUUGAAAUUCUUAUAGAUUGAAAAAUGAUGAGGAAGACUGAGGAACGGUUUGAGUUUAUGUUUUUGCUGCAAUAACGAACUUAGAUUAGAAUUUAUAAUCUAAUUUUUAAGAAUAAUUACUUCAUAGCUUUGAACCUUAGGAAUGUGUCAAUAAGGUUUUGGAAUGUAGAGAGAAAGGAGAGGUGUGAGAAUGAGUCGUGCAGAAGCUUCAAAAGGGAAGAAGAAGGGAGGAGUUUCCUUCACCAUUGAUUGUUCCAAGCCUGUGGAUGACAAGAUCAUGGAGAUUGCUUCCUUGAUUUCCUUUAGAGAAAUUUUUUUCCACAGUUCUAGUCUAAGAUGCUUAAUUGAUUUCCUUUUCCGCUUCAUUGUCAGGUAAAAGUGUUGUCUCGUCUCUAGGCUUGUUAAAACCUUUACAAGUACAUUCUAUAACAGACAAUAGCAACUGUUUACUUUCCAAUUGAAGAUAUCUUCAAGAGUACAGUUUCUGGUCUUCCCAUGUUUCAUCAAACUAUGCUGUCGUCUACAUCUAAACCAAUCCCAGUCGUGCAGCUAUCACAUCGUUGAUAUCUUACUUCCGGAAUCCUAUUAUCCAGAUUUGUGCUGCUAAAGUGCUUUCAAAGUUAUAUGCCAUGGCAGAAUCAUCACAACUCUAUAUAAUAAGCAAAGCAGGCUUUGGUCUAUACAUCUCUCUGUUAUUCCGUUCAUCUGCUUUGUGCCCAGCCUGCUUUUUCUGAGUUGUUAGCACAAUAUCAGUCUUGCAAUGAUCUGAGAUUAUGUUUAGUUGAGAGUUUGGACAACUUGACAUGGCAUCUUCGUUUGUAGUGUUCUUCUCUCCUACUCUAUAUAAAGUUUUUAUUCACCAAGCA